CAAAGGCCCCAAAGGAAGCCACGGCUAACUCUGUGCCAGCAGCCGCGGUAAUACAGAGGUGGCAAGCGUUGUUCGGUAUUAUUGGGCGUAAAGAGCACGUAGGUGGUUCUGUAAGUCAGAUGUGAAAGCCUUCUGUUCAAAGGAAGAACAGCAUCUGAAACUACAGAUCUUGAGCGUAGGAGGGGAGAGUGGAACUUCUGGUGGAGCGGUGAAAUGCGUAGAUAUCAGAAGGAGCGUCGGCGGCGAAAGCGACUCUCUGGCCUAUUACUGACACUGAGUGUGCGAAAGUUAGGGGAGCAAACGGGAUUAGAUACCCCGGUAGUCCUAACUGUAAA
rnacentral:rRNA from 1 species